AUUUAGGUGCGCAAAUCUCAGAUAUUAUAAGAUUUUAGUGUUUAUAAAAAAAUAUGUUCUUAUAAUUGAUAUACUCUAUUUUACGAAACGGGUUUCUAUGGGUCCGAAAUCCUAUACAAAACUAAGAAAAUAAAUAAACUGUUCUCUUUAAAAAAAAACACGAUUUUCGUGGUCUUCGUAAUUCUUUAGCGGCAAGUAAUAGGGUUUAUUUUUCAACUGUCUUAUCCCGUACUGUUACAAUGAAUUUUCAAAAAACAAAUCAGUCUGCGCCACGGCGCCUUUGUGGGUGGGUGGACCUGUGUCGGUUUUUCUCCGCCGCUCAAAGUGAAAACAUCGCUGUACAGAUACGAAUAGUUAUUUCCUUGCUCUUGAGACUUGAAUCUUCAUUGAUUACGAAAAAUAUAAAUGGGACGGUAUAAGAAGUUUGGAGUAACUCGAAAAAUGAUUAAUGCAAAUAGACGUAAUGCGCAAAUACGUAGAACGGUCAUAAUCGCGAGUAACCAAAAAAACACCCAGUCUGAUGAAAUAGAUAUUCAGGAACAACUUUGUUUAUCUGGAGACACUAACGUAUAUUACUA